rnacentral:rRNA from 1 species
UACGUAGGGGGCUAGCGUUGUCCGGAAUCAUUGGGCGUAAAGAGCGUGUAGGCGGCCCGGUAAGUCCGCUGUGAAAGUCGGGGGCUCAACCCUCGAAUGCCGGUGGAUACUGUCGGGCUAGAGUGCGGAAGAGGCGAGUGGAAUUCCUGGUGUAGCGGUGGAAAUGCGCAGAUAUCAGGAGGAACACCAAUUGCGAAGGCAGCUCGCUGGGACGUUACUGACGCUGAGGCGCGAAAGCGUGGGGAGCAAACAGG